rnacentral:rRNA from 1 species
CAAUAGCGUAUAUUAAAGUUGUUGCAGUUAAAAAGCUCGUAGUUGGAUUUCUGGUUGGAGCGAUCGGUCUGGCGCUUAGCGCGAGUACUUGCAUCGUCUCCGGCCAUCCUUGGGGAGAGUCUGUCUGGCAUUAAGUUGUCGGGCAGAGGAUCCUCAUCGUUUACUGUGAAAAAAUUAGAGUGUUCAAAGCAGGCUUAUGCCGUUGAAUAUAUUAGCAUGGAAUAAUAAGAUAGGACUUUGGUACUAUUUUGUUGGUUUGCGCACCAAAGUAAUGAUUAAUAGGGACAGUUGGGGGUAUUCGUAUUCCGUUGUCAGAGGUGAAAUUCUUGGAUUUACGGAAGACGAACUACUGCGAAAGCAUUUACCAAGGAUGUUUUCAUUAA